rnacentral:rRNA from 1 species
GGAGGAUCCGAGCGUUAUCCGGAUUUAUUGGGUUUAAAGGGAGCGUAGAUGGAUGUUUAAGUCAGUUGUAAAAGUUUGCGGCUCAACCGUAAAAUUGCAGUUGAUACUGGGUGUCUUGAGUACAGUAGAGGCAGGCGGAAUUCGUGGUGUAGCGGUGAAAUGCUUAGAUAUCACGAAGAACUCCGAUUGCGAAGGCAGCUCACUGGAGCGCAACUGACGCUGAAGCUCGAAAGUGCGGGUAUCGAACAGGAUUAGAUACCCUGGUAGUCCGCACGGUAAACGAUGGAUGCCCGCUGUUGGUCUGAAUAGGUCAGCGGCCAAGCGAAAGCGUUAAGUAUUCCACCUGGGGAGUACGCCGGCAACGGUGAAACUCAAAGGAAUUGACGGCAGCAG